CCCCUCUCAGGGUCCACCUGGAGAGUUUCCAGUACUCUACCAAUCUCGACGAAGGAAGGGACAGUCAAGCAGAGGCAUACCCAUUCCAUUCCUAGCUUGGGCAGUGGCUAGUGAAUGGAAUGCAAUCUGCUACAAGU